rnacentral:misc_RNA from 1 species
UGUAUUGGAGGCAUAGUUUCUCCAUGGGAAAGGCCCCAGCUUUCAUCGUUGAUGAUCUACAGAAUGAGUAUCAGAAUGGAUUUGGUUUUAAACGUGAGGGCUGUGAAAUAGCUAUUACCAUACAAGAUAGAAAAUACGUGAUUGGUGGUAGCGAUGAUGAAUCUGCAUUGUCUAUUGGAGUUCGAAUUUUUGACAAAGCUACUGGGAAUUGGGAAAUUCCAACUGUGCUGGGAACAAAACCCAAGCCAUGUAAAGGUCACUCAGCUGUGUCAUUGAAUGAUGGCCGAAUUUUGAUUAUUAAGAAGGGAUCUGCACCAAAUGCAGUCAUCUUCUCGAGGUGGACACUGAGUAUGUUAAGAAGCAGAAAAAAGGUUUGGGGACAGAGGUUGUGGCCUGGAGUAAGGGUGUGAGGGGCAAUGUUGAGAGGCCAGUUGUCAUAAGUGGUCCUUCAGGUG